GUUUCGUAAAAGGCAUUUCGUUAAAUAAAUAAUUUUCGUUUAGAUUCUGAAAGAAUAUUUAUCUUUGUAGCAAUCACGAUUUAAAAUAAUUUGAUUUUGAAUCAAAUUGUAAAUAAAUACAUGAAAUAAACUAUAAAUUAAUGGAAAGGUCAGAUAAGCCACAAGAAACACAUUGUAGCUCAACAUGCAAGAUCCUCGACUACAACAGUCAUCCGCCAUCAUUCGACGGAUGUUACUGCUACUGCGUCCCGAUAGGAUUACUCAUAUUAUUCAUAUUACAAUUCCACUAUUUUAUCUGUUGUGUGAGACGCAAGAUGAAAGGUAACGAAUAUUCUUCUGUAUUUAAUUGGAAAAUACCGCUUAUGUGUUAGCAAAUUAGCAAUGAAAUAUAGUGAUUUGGCAUUAAAUAUGGCGCUGGAUCGAUCACGUGACCUUAUUUUCCCCUUCAUGUAGAUGAAUGGUUACCAUAGCAACCGUUGUCAGGAGCUGAUGGAUAGCGCACAGAAACCCUUCCGUAGAAUAUCUUUAAAUGAACCUAUUGAAUAUUAUUUUCUUAUUGAAAUUGAAUUUUUUGCUAUCUUUUUAUUUAUAUUUUUUAGUCAAAAGAAUUUUAUUCUUUAUUUGUUUGAAUGAAAAUUUGUUUAUUCCGUAAUAUAAUUUUUAUUUCACAUCUUAGUUUGAUAUAUACAGUUUUAAUUUAGAUGAAAUUAAUUAGAAUAGUGAUUAGAUCG
rnacentral:lncRNA from 1 species